AGAAAAGGGGUUCCUCAGAGGAACAAACGCAGCUACAGGAGUGGGUUUCUGAUUUCAUAUAUAUCUUUGCUGGGUUUAUGUUUCUAUUUAGAAUAAUGUUUCGGACAUGCGUCGUUAGAAUUUUGAUUCCCUUGUUUAUGUAUCUGAUACUUGUAUGUCUGGAUCUGCCAAGUUUUCUACUUUUAUCAUCUGAAAAUUGCAUACACCUUUCUGAUAUAGCACCAAGUUUGUUGUACUGCUUUUCCAACUUGGUCAGCCUCAGAACAAGUGAAACAUAUAUGCCUUCUGCCAUGGGAAUUGUAUGUUAAGAUUUUACUAGAAAGGAAAAGUGUGUUUUUUUUUUAUCUGUAAAAGUGGUAAAACUAAUGAUCUUCAUUUUAUGCUAAUCUUCUUGUGGUUAGGAAAUGUUGGAUAAGUAAUCAUCACAUUCAUUUCAUACAAUUUCCUUUGCUUUUGUAAGUUGGGCUCAUACUAGUUGGAAGCAUACUGUCAUAGUGUUUCCUCAGUAAAUCUAUGGUAGUGUUUGCAUUGGAAUCUCUGUUGCAAUGGAAUUUCAGAUCGGUGCACCAUUUAAACAAGUAAUGCAUGCCCAUUUCCUUUAUUAUUUGAAAAUUUCUUUCAAGUUUUUGAUAUAGAUAUUGAGAAGGAAGAUGAAACUAGCUUAUUUCUUAUGUGUUUGAAGUUUUGCACCGAGUUUGUUGUAUGCUCAUUUCCUUUAUUAUUUGAAAAUUGCUUUCAAGUUUUUAAUAUAGAUGAAACUAGCCUGUUUCUUAUGUGUUUGAAGUUCUGCACCUAGUUUGUUGCGUGCCCAUUUCCUUUUGUUUCUGAAACUUUAAAUUGGCAUCUUUUCAAGGGAAGCCGAUCAAGAUCCUUAAUUCAUCGUGUCGGAGGAGAAUCUAAGGUCAUUUUCUUUGUUAUCAGUUUUGGAGCUGCAAAAUCAUCUACUUUGUUUCCUUUCGGAAGUAAUUGGCAACAUGGAAGAGAUGUCUUUUGUGAAGUCAAGAAUUGUACACUGUAAAAUGAAGUAUAUCAUUCGUGUCUACUGUCUUGUACACUUUUACAAAAAGGAAGUAGAACUAAAAUGCAGUACAUACAUUCAUCUAGUACUUCAGCAGCUCCUCAAGUAUUCUGAUGAAAAAUAUACAUGCUACCUAGGGUAGUGCAAUCGUAGAAUACUUGAGCUGUUGUUUUCCUACUGAAGUUUCAUUGGUUUCUAGUGUCUGUUACAAAAAGGAAGUAGAUACGAGAAUGAAGUAGAUACAUUUCUUGGCUA